rnacentral:lncRNA from 1 species
GCCGCGGAUCUCCAUCUGGAUGUUAGACUCCGGCACCCCGACGGCGCCGGUGACGAGGGAGACGUCGGCGGGGUCCAGGCCGGCGGCGACGCCGACGGUGUGGACCCAUUCGCCGAGCAUCUCGAGCGCGUUGGCCUUGUGACCGUACCUGCGCCGGGAAGGAUUGAUUUGGGAAGGAUUUGGUUAUUAGGGGGGGGAUUCUGUUGGGAGGAUGGGGACGACGAGGACGAGGACGAGGACGAGGAGGCGGACGCUCCGGGGGAGGGCGACGGUUCGCGCGACGUCGCGGGGCGAGGGUUCGUUCGGGUCUCACCUGGCGUCGAUGGACCAGAUCGCGCGCAAUCCCGGCGCGCCCGGGACGGAUUCCCCGCCGCUCGCAGCGGUGACGACGCGCGUGAAUCUCGACGGAAGCCUCCGAGGUGGUGGGUCCGCGGGGCGUGACGCGCCGCGGCGCGCGAGGAGACGAGCGCGCGCCGGUGGAGCCGCCGCGACGGGUGAGGCGCUCAUGGCGACGAUGAUUCGAACGAAACCGGGCGGUGCGGCGGGCGCGAGCGGGCGCGGGGCGCUCGUCGGAAUGAGCGCGGAGUCGACAACGCGUUUUCCGCGGGAGAGUCCGAGGGGCGCCUUGCUCGGACCUAAAUUUGGGCGGAAUUCA